GUCGAGCGAGUUGAUCUCUUCGGAGUGAAGCUAGCGGCGGACGGCUGAGUAACACGUGGGCAACCUGCCUCAUAGAGGGGAAUAGCCUCCCGAAAGGGAGAUUAAUACCGCAUAAGAUUGUAGCUUCGCAUGAAGUAGCAAUUAAAGGAGCAAUCCGCUAUGAGAUGGGCCCGCGGCGCAUUAGCUAGUUGGUGAGGUAACGACUCACCAAGGCGACGAUGCGUAGCCGACCUGAGAGGGUGAUCGGCCACAUUGGGACUGAGACACGGCCCAGACUCCUACGGGAGGCAGCAGUGGGGAAUAUUGCACAAUGGGGGAAACCCUGAUGCAGCAAUGCCGCGUGAGUGAUGACGGUCUUCGGGUUGUAAAGCUCUGUCUUCGGGGACGAUAUGACGGUACCCGAGGAGGAAGCCACGGCUAACUACGUGCCAGCAGCCGCGGUAAUACGUAGGUGGCAAGCGUUGUCCGGAUUUACUGGGCGUAAAGGGAGCGUAGGCGGAUUUUUAAGUGAGAUGUGAAAUACCCGGGCUUAACUUGGGUGCUGCAUUUCAAACUGGAAGUCUAGAGUGCAGGAGAGGAGAAGGGAAUUCCUAGUGUAGCGGCGAAAUGCGUAGAGAUUAGGAAGAACACCAGUGGCGAAGGCGCUUCUCUGGACUGUAACUGACGC
rnacentral:rRNA from 1 species